rnacentral:rRNA from 1 species
GCUUGCUGGGUGGAUUAGUGGCGAACGGGUGAGUAACACGUGAGUAACCUGCCCUUAACUCUGGGAUAAGCCUGGGAAACUAGGUCUAAUACCGGAUAGGAGCGCCUACCGCAUGGUGGGUGUUGGAAAGAUUUAUCGGUUUUGGAUGGACUCGCGGCCUAUCAGCUUGUUGGUGAGGUAAUGGCUCACCAAGGCGACGACGGGUAGCCGGCCUGAGAGGGUGACCGGCCACACUGGGACUGAGACACGGCCCAGACUCCUACGGGAGGCAGCAGUGGGGAAUAUUGCACAAUGGGCGAAAGCCUGAUGCAGCGACGCCGCGUGAGGGAUGACGGCCUUCGGGUUGUAAACCUCUUUCAGUAGGGAAGAAGCGAAAGUGACGGUACCUGCAGAAGAAGCACCGGCUAACUACGUGCCAGCAGCCGCGGUAAUACGUAGGGUGCGAGCGUUAUCCGGAAUUAUUGGGCGUAAAGAGCUCGUAGGCGGUUUGUCGCGUCUGUCGUGAAAGUCCGGGGCUUAACCCCGGAUCUGCGGUGGGUACGGGCAGACUAGAGUGCAGUAGGGGAGACUGGAAUUCCUGGUGUAGCGGUGGAAUGCGCAGAUAUCAGGAGGAACACCGAUGGCGAAGGCAGGUCUCUGGGCUGUAACUGACGCUGAGGAGCGAAAGCAUGGGGAGCGAACAGGAUUAGAUACCCUGGUAGUCCAUGCCGUAAACGUUGGGCACUAGGUGUGGGGACCAUUCCACGGUUUCCGCGCCGCAGCUAACGCAUUAAGUGCCCCGCCUGGGGAGUACGGCCGCAAGGCUAAAACUCAAAGGAAUUGACGGGGGCCCGCACAAGCGGCGGAGCAUGCGGAUUAAUUCGAUGCAACGCGAAGAACCUUACCAAGGCUUGACAUGUUCUCGAUCGCCGUAGAGAUACGGUUUCCCCUUUGGGGCGGGUUCACAGGUGGUGCAUGGUUGUCGUCAGCUCGUGUCGUGAGAUGUUGGGUUAAGUCCCGCAACGAGCGCAACCCUCGUUCCAUGUUGCCAGCACGUAAUGGUGGGGACUCAUGGGAGACUGCCGGGGUCAACUCGGAGGAAGGUGAGGACGACGUCAAAUCAUCAUGCCCCUUAUGUCUUGGGCUUCACGCAUGCUACAAUGGCCGGUACAAUGGGUUGCGAUACUGUGAGGUGGAGCUAAUCCCAAAAAGCCGGUCUCAGUUCGGAUUGGGGUCUGCAACUCGACCCCAUGAAGUCGGAGUCGCUAGUAAUCGCAGAUCAGCAACGCUGCGGUGAAUACGUUCCCGGGUCUUGUACACACCG